GGUCUUGUGGCUCAGUGGUAGAGUGCUUGCCUAGCAUGCGUGAGGCAUUGGGUUCAAUCUCCAACACCA
rnacentral:tRNA from 1 species